GAAUUUUGGACAAUGGGGGCAACCCUGAUCCAGCCAUCCCGCGUGUGCGAUGAAGGCCUUCGUGUUGUAAAGCACUUUUGGCAGGGAAGAAAAGGCUCUGGCUAAUACCUGGAGCUGCUGACGGUACCUGCAGAAUAAUCACCGGCUAACUACUUACCACCAACCUCUGUAAUACGUAGGGUGCAAGCGUUAAUCGGAAUUACUGGGCGUAAAGCGUGCGCAGGCGGUUCGGCAAGAAGGAUGUGAAAUCCCAGGGCUUAACCUUGGAACUGCAUUCUUAACUGCCGGGCUAGAGUAUGUCAGAGGGGGGUAGAAUUCCGCGUGUAGCAGUGAAAUGCGUAGAGAUGCGGAGGAAUACCGAUGGCGAAGGCAGCCCCCUGGGAUAAUACUGACGCUCAUGCACGAAAGCGUGGGGAGCAAAC
rnacentral:rRNA from 1 species